AUUUUAUAUGAAGCACUUAGAACACAUAGAAAAAACACCAAAAGUCAGGUAUCAUCAUUAAUGAAUAAAAGGACUUAGAUUUUUAGAACUGUUGGCACACCAGUGAUUAUAAAGGAGGGUUUCCUUCGGGUGAAAAAAAUACAAGACUGGUUGUGGUAUUUCUCAAGCUUUGGAAAGUGACUAAAUUGUCACCAUGCUGAGAUUUAUUUAUUUGUUUAUUAUCUUUCUAUCUUAUCUCUUGGUUCAGUGUCUGGCACAGACUUAGCAGUUGACAAAUGUUUAUUGAAUGAAUGGAUGAGCAAGUAGAAAAGCCACCCGUCUUGUCUAAUUCUGAAGGUUAUUUCAUUGAGACCAUAUCAUUUUGGUGCAAACUGAAAUUGUGUGUCUAUGAGAGGGGCCACGUGCCCAUGGAAUUCAAACUUGUCAUAAUUCACCAAUGGGACAAUUGGGGGAGUAUCAAGUUCCUUUCAUAUAAUUGGGUGCAGAACUCUUCUGGACUUUGGCAUUACGAAGUUGGGUUACAAAUGUCAUGAGAACAGACUCUCUGGCAAAAUAUCUAAUGUUGCUGCUUCCAGUCUCAACCAGACGUAUCAGGAGACUAGCUUUUCCCAGGGUGUUUUAGGGCUUCAGGUUCUGGUCCCAACUGGAAUCUAGUAGUAAAACAACUUUGAAGUAAACACUCAGAAUGUUAGUGAAAAAGCUUAGUUCAGUAUUAAGUGUAUCAAUAGGUGAAGCUGGGGGAUGGGGUGAGGAGAAUGAGUGGAAGGAGUAUGGGCAUAUUUUCCCCCAAAUUAUCCCUGAGUGAAGGUGUAUGUUGGAAAGUCCUAGAUGGAUCUAUUGGGUAUCUUAUAUGCCAUUUCACAGUUAUGUGCAGAAGUAGGGUCAGAUCAGCUGAAUUGUUGCUGUAUUAAUGUGGUAGCUUAGCCAUUUGGAGUUAAUUGUUAAUCAAGCCGGACAUUAUCUGCAAUACCAUUCUGAGAGGUAGAAAGACAAAAAUCCAGUAUCUUAUUACCCUUGUCAUCAAAAUGCUCUAAAAAUUCUUGGAUAAUAGCCAUCAGAAUGGCAGAGACAGGCUAUUAUAAGAACUCGAAAUGUCUUCUGUUUCUGGUUUUUAUUUUCAAAUAAUUUUAUCUGUGAACUAAAAUCAGCCAGGAAGGAUCUGCCACACACUGGAAAUUGCAAAGGCUGGCUUCCAGCAGCACCCUCUCUGUGACACUCAUUUUGCUACUAAGAGAAGCCACUUAACAAACCAAUUUUCAACAGGGGGAGAUGAAAACACAAUAGUUAAUCAGGUUUUACAAGGUCACACAUCUCAUUCAAAUUGUAAAAGGACCCCGUUAGUACCUUCUUUCCCUUGUUCUCAAUGUAGCCUUUCUACAAAUUGAGGGCUCACCACUUUGGAUCCUCCUACGAGAUAGCAGUCAGUUCAUAAAGGCUUGAAGUACCAUUUUCCUGAGAAAAUGAGAGCCCCUUUGGAGCCUAUUAACACCCUUUUUUUAUGGCGAGCUGAGCAAGUAGCCACCAUUGACAUGUGUUGGCACUUUCUAAAAGGUCAUUAAUGCUCCAUAUUUCAGAGUAUACCAAACCCAGGAAGGCUCAGAGGAGCCCAGCAGGGGUAAAAUAAAAACAGUGAGUAAUUGACAGCACUUCUUGUCUCACCUGGGUGGGCCAUGCCGAAUGUGGGGGCGAGAGAAUUAGGACCCUCCCCUCUGUGAAUUUGCAGGGUCCUAGCAACUUCUAGGUAAAAUCUAGAAAAACGAGCUUUUAAGAAACAGCCUUGAUCAAAUCUCCACGCUAUAGGAAAGCGGCUUCACAAUGGUUCCUAUUCUGCUCCCCCUCCUUCCUCUUGAGAAUGAUUUUCUACAUGGGUGGGCCUUUUUUGCCUUCUGAUAUUUCUGAAGUUUUGUUGUGAUUCUUUGAUAACAUUCUACAUUGAAAUUGGAAAUUGGUGGAAAAAUCUGCAGCUUUAUUUUAUUUUGAGUUCUCAAAUUUUGGAGACUUUCUUUUUUUUCUAGAUAAAUUCAUCAUGUAUUUCCAGCUACGUGCAUUUUAGCAUGUUGCUAAAACUUGCAUUGCACACUAGAUUGAUGAGGUUUAUCUUCUUAAGUUAUAUGUCUGAGCGAGGAAUGAAUAUGAACUUUUUAAAUAAACUUUGAAGUGUUAUCACAAAUGUAAUGCAUAUCUAAAGUUCACUUAUAUAAAUCUUUGCAGAGCUGACAAAUCAAUGACCUUCCUGUGUAUUUAAAGACAGAUACCACACUAACUAAUACUCAGAAGCCUCUUCUUGUUUACACUGUGGUUUCCCCACAGGAUAGGAGGACCAUCGCCAUUGGCUGUUACCCCUGGUGAGGUGUUCCUGUUCCUCCUGUAUUCUUAAACCUAUUUUUUUGCCCCACUCCAGCAUUUGAUAGUGAGGAUUCUACUGAAAAGUAUCUUCUUACCAUUCAUACCUUCUGACAAUGAUAGGGAUGUUCAUGGCCCAUCAUCUACAAUUUUUCUGAUCCUGUUAGAGAACCAGAGAGGUAAGCAAGGGGCAAGUUGAGUUAUGGAUGAAGGAAGGAUCCCAUAAGAGCUGUCAGACAAUAUUCCUUCAGGUAAGUAGGUUGACUGGUAAAAGUCAAGGAUUUGUCAUCCUGUCUCAAAUUCAGUUUUCAGGGUGAUAUCAUGUAUUCCAACAACCACAAAUAGUGCCUACUAUGUGGCAGAUGCUAUUUUGGAUUCUAGAGAAACAACAGUGGAUAAAGUAGACAGAAACCCCGUUCUCAUUGUGCUUGUAUUUGGGGGUGUGUAUGUGUGUCUGUGUGUAAGAGAGGGAGACAGAGGCAGAGACAGAGAAAUGAGAAAUAAGAUAUACAAACAAAUCAAACACUACAUUAUUUAAGGUUAUAAGUGUUAUGGAAACAGUAAAGCAGGAAACAGGAGCAUGAAUGGUGAGGGGUUGUGAUUUUGAAUCAGAGUCAAGAAAACUUCACUGAGAAAUUGCCAUUUGAGUAAAGACUUGAGGGAGGUGCUUUUACUACUAACUUGGUAGUUGAUGGAUAAAAAUGAUUAUUUCUAUCAAAGAAUUUACAUUGGGAGAAUUAAGCAGAUUUCUCGUAAGAGUUCAAGAUAAAUAUGUCAGGCGUCUUAAGAAACUUAUAAGCAAAGCAGUAGCGUAAGUAGAGGAGGAAGGGAAGGGACAGUCGGUGAGGAGAGAGGUCACCUUCCACUGGAAUGAUGAGAAUUUGGUUUCACAGAAACUGAGGGGCAGUCUAGAGGUUUGAGAGUCCCAGCAGGUAUCAGUUUCCUAGAUGGAUCUUUCAAGAAGUUUUGCCUCAAGACCACUAGUAAUCUAGUGGAGUGUAAAGGUAUCAUUGCUGGUGGUUUUGCUUUCCUGGCAGCCAUCAGGCAGAGCUCAUAAGAGAACAGGUAAGUCAGGCUAAGGAUCCUGCUGCCAUUUUUGUCAGCCUCCUGGAGAGGAACAUGCCUGAGAUUUGGAAUCUUAGCUUGCUGACCAUCAUGUUUGAUUCUAAAGGUGUACUCCAUCCAGAGGAUCUUCUAGUUAAUACUUUAUUACUGGUGAGGACUUUGGCCCAGUUGCCUGUGUGUUCUCUCAUCCUGGUAAAAAGGGUUGGCCUUGAGAACUAGUUCUUUAAGCCCUCUAGCUUCUAGAUUCCUGGUCACAGGAGGACCUGGCUCCUGGGCCUCCUACCCCUGACCUCAGCUCUCUGUUUUUUCACCCUUAUUGUGAAUGGAGUCAUGGAAAAGAAAGUGAAAGUGAUCAUUUGUCCUGAUUCAGAUCUAUUUAUUAGACCCCUUGUCUCCAUGUAAAACUGCUCCUGAGGAUUCUGGUGAGUCCUUGACCCUUUCAGAUUUUUUCUUUCAGUUUUAUUGAGAUAUAAUUGACAUACAGCACUUUGUAAGUUUAAGGUAUAUAUCAUAAUGGCUUGAUUUACAUACAUUGUGAAAUGAUUACUGCAAUAGGUUUAGUCAGCAUUUAUCAUCUCGUAUAGAUACCCACCCCCCAAAGAAAGUGUUUUUUCCUCGUGAUGAGAACUCUUAGGAUCUAUUCUCUUUACUUUCAAAUGUGCCAUACAUCAGUGUUAACUAUAGUCAUCAUGUUGUACAUUACAUCCCCAGUGCUUAUUUAUCUUACAACUGGAAGUUUGUGCCUUUUGACUGCCUUUAUGUAAUUUCACCACCCUCCAUCUCUGGUACUCUGGUGACCACAAAUAUGAUCUCUUUUUCUAUGAGUUUUUUUUUUUCUUAAGAUUCCACAUUUAAGUUGAGAUCAUACAGUAUUUGUCUUUUGACUUAUUUCAGUUAGCAUAAUGCCCUCAAGCUCCAUCCAUGUUGUUGCAAAUGGCAGGGUUUCCUUCUUUUUUAUGGCUGAAUAGUAUUUAUAUCUGUAUCUAUAUCUCACAUUUUCUUUAUCAUAUUUUUAUGUCUAUCGAUGGACACCUAGAUUGUUUCCAUGUCUUGGCUAUUGUAAAUAAUACUGCAGUGAACAUGGGAGUGCAGGUAUCUCUUCAUCAUAGUAGUUUCAUUUCUUUUUGGUAAGAUACCCAGAAGUGGAAUUGCUGGAUCAUAUGGUGGUGCUGUUUUUAAUGUUUGAGGCACCUCCAUACUGUUUUCCAUAGUGGCUCCACCAGUUUACAUUUCCGCCAUGGGAUGUGUGUGAGGGUUCCCUUUUCUUUCUCCAUAUCCUUGACAGAAUUUCUUAUCCCUUGUCUUUUUUUUUUCCUGGUGAGGAAGAUUGGCCCUGAGCCAACAUCUGUUGCCAAUCUUACUCUUUUUGCUCAAGGAAGCUUGCUGCUGAGCCAACAUCUGUGCCAAUCCUCUCUACCUUCUGUGGGAUGCCACCGCAGCAUGGCCUGAUGAGUGGUGCUAGGUCUGCGCCUGGGAUCCGAACCUGUGAACCCUGGGCCACUGAAGCUGAGCAUGCACAUUCAAUCACUACACCACCAGACCGGCCGCCGUUGUCGUUUUUUAAUAGCCAUCCUAACAGGCAAUGAGAUCGAAUUCCUGUUUUGUGAGUGAAGUGUCUAAUUGGCUUGCUUUGAUCAUGUGUCCAGCCCUUGACAUAGAAGAAGACUUCCAUAACUCUGACCACUGGAGCUGAGAAGCAUCCUGAGUGAAGACCAAGCAGAAGAUCAGUGACUGCAGUCCAAAGAUAUGUAGACAUCCAAGAAAGGGUUGGAAGGAUACAAUGGGAGGCAAAACACAACAGACCAAGCUAGACUCAGCAACAGACUAUGGAGGAGAGUGAGAUGAGAGAAGCCGAUCUGGGUGUAGUGUAAGAUUAUUAUCUGAAUGUGCCUUGUCCCAGUCCCUCUGAGGGCAUCAUUACCCCCUGCCCCCUCUUAUUUAAAUGAUAUAUGUAUAAAAACUAAAGUAAUUAUCAUCCUGGGUUUCACCAACUAUGCAUGAAUGUAGUUGCAAAGUGGGAGUUGGUGAGUGGAAAGCUGUUUCUCUCCAGGUAGUAAGAGGUGAGCACUGAGGGUUUGGAUUAGUAUCAGGGCUGUUUUUUUUUUAAUUUAUUUUUUAUUUUUUUAUUUUUUUUAAAGAUUUUAUUUUUUUCCUUUUUCUCCCCAAAGCCCCCUAGUACAUAGUUGUAUAUUCUUCGUUGUGGGUCCUUCUAGUUGUGGCAUGUGGGACGCUGCCUCAGCGUGGUUUGAUGAGCAGUGUCAUGUCUGUGCCCAGGAUUCGAACCAACGAAACACUGGGCCGCCUGCAGCGGAGCGCGCGAACUUAACCACUCGGCCACGGGGCCAGCCCCUAUCAGGGCUGUUUUGUAUGGUUGUGUAGGUUGUACACUGCACAGUGUCAGAUAUUGUCCUGCACAUACACUAAAUAUGCAUAACUAACCUUCAUGGCUAUACUUGGUUGCCCUGCUAAAAGUCAAUGUCAGCUGGGGGAGUAGGGACAGCAGUAUCUCAAGGGAGCUUCAGUGGUCUGAAAUGGAGCAGCCAUGAUAGGACAUGCAGUGGGCAUGCACUAUGUGAUGGUCACCUGUGGACAAUGGCCUGAAAAAGCUCAAUGGCCUAAAUUAGAGUGCCGGCUGAGGAAAGUCUGAAACUCUGAGUCCUACGAGACACUGCUGGGAGCUCCCAGAGAUACUGGGGUUGGGAGGGAAUAUUUAAGGUCGGUGGAGGCACUGGCUACAUCUGUGAAGAUUAAGAGAAACUGAGUGUGUUGAUGUGACCUGAUUUUAUACCCCAGGUUGUAGGACCCUGGAGUUUUUUGGAUUCUUUAUGUAAAAAAAUAUGGCUAUUUUCAGACCCCAGCUUUGUAGUUGAACCCUGUUUGUUCUUUUUGGAGGCGAGUCCUUCCUUGUUAAUGGAUACAGUGCUGCUCCUGUUGAGUCCUCCACGUGCCAUCUGGCUGAGAAGGAGCCUGGUGGUCACUGUCAUAGUGUGUUCUCUCUGAACCUCGUUAACCGGCACAAGGAGUAAAGUGAAGUGACAUUAAAUGGACCAAGGAUCUGAGUUCUCCAUGAUAAACCACCAGGAAAUAAUUCUUGGCCAUGACAUUUAAAGAAAAAAGAAAAACAAAGCAAUGUUUUUUAAGUGACCUACAAUGAAGGGAAAAAAUUCAGAAUUUUUACUAAAAGGUACCCAUACAGAGGAAGAGACUGACCGGUGGAAAAUUCUUUUCCUUUCAACCUAAUCAUAACAAGGUAGACUUGAUGGGAAAUAUUUAUAAGGAAUAUUUUUAAAGGUAGAAUUUCUAAGUCCAUAGAGUUGUCAGUAUCUGGAAGGCCCCGUGUCUCCAGCACUUUAUAGAAAUUGAAAACAUGCAGCCCCUGCUACAAUCAUCUCCAGAGUCCACGCAGAACAGGGUGACAGUGAGUGAAAUGGUGGAGAGGCAAAGUUGACUCAGGCCAAGGGGACCUGGCUGGAUUUUUACUCUUUUAAAAAUGUCACCUGUCUGACACUUUGCUUGACCCCACCAUGUCCACCAUGAUAUACCACUUUAUCCUGAGUGUUUACGUAAGGGUCUCAGAAGGGGAGACACAUUUUUUUGUUAGGAUGGAAAGGUGAGGUGACUCAUGAAAAGAAACAGGGAAUAAUGGGCCUGGUAUCCAUAUGCUAUUCCAGGGUAGAACUAGUAAGAGGAUUUAUAAAGAACUUGUUUCUUUAGGAUGGAUUUUGAGGAAAAAGUGUGAUACAUGAUAUAUAUGUAGUGAAAGAAAGCAACUAACGUGUGUGAGAGACCUUUAAAUGCCAGGAGCUUCGUAUUAUCUCAUGAGGUGUGGAUAUAAUCAUUCUCACUUUAUAGAAAAGGAAAAUGAGGCUCAGAAAGCUUAAGUCACUGCCCUAGUCACAUAUCCAGUAAAUUGUGGAGUCGAGAUUGAACUGAGUUACCUCUAGUAGUGACACGUGCGCUAUUCCCACCACCCCAGGCUGCUCUUCCUUCUGAUUCCCCUUUAACCUUGGACCCCCACCAUGUUCACAUCUGUAGACGCCAUCCUGGUCCUCUGAGUGUGUGUGGCAAACAGCCCCUCAUUUGUAGCUCAGGAAGUUAGGACGACGUCUCUCCACUCUCCAGUGGUCACGUGAGAGUGUUAGCGGCUCUGCCCUAUCAUCCACAUGGCCUCUCGGUGAUCCCCAAUCACAAACCUCUGUCAUAUAUUGCUUAAAUAUACAUUGGCUAGGGUGAUAGGAUUUAUAUUCUGUUGAUUAAUUAUAAUUAAUUCUUCGGGGCUUUGUCAGUCAAGUUAAAAACUAAUUUUAAAAUUCCAGAGGUGGAAUCAGAUUCUUCUUUUUUAAAUAAACACACUGGUAUGACAGAAAUAUCAGAUUCACCCAAUAUGCCACUGCUGCCACCCUUAGAGCCAGGACAGGGAAGGAGGGGUUUCAUCUGUCAUUACUCCUGGCAGAGCACAGCACAUUCUGGAUGUGGAGAAGGCUUGGCUUAGUGUCGUUCCAGUAGCUGUCGGCACCACAAAGAAUGUGACUGCAGUUCUGCCAGCAGGAUCCACAAGGUGUACCUGCAGCCACACAGAGGGCUUAGCCUGUAACACCAGGCCACCCUAAGGAGAAGACAAAAGGCUGUCUGCUUUUUGGGGCCAUUUGGGAGUCCUAAUAGGAGUGACCAGUCUUUCACAGGCUAAGGUGCCUGUUCGUACCUUAACUUUGUCAUCCUUUCAGAUAGUAACACUCGAAACAAGUACUCGUUUAUACCUAACUCACUAUUGCACUAAUGAUUAAAAAGCUGCUUCUUCUUGCUUCUUCCCUAAGAUCUAAAGGUGGCAGCUAAUUCAGGAAAAAGUCUAGUGAUAAAGGGGAAAAUAUCUCUUUAUUGGGUGACAGUUGCUUGGAAGGCCCAUUCUACACUAAAAGGAGAUUUUUCCAGAGACCUCUACUUUGUCUAUGUGUGCAUUCUCAAAGUUGAAGCCCAUUAAAAAAGCAUUUACAAUAUUAUGUUUAUGUAAAUACUAUUCACUAUACAUUAAAGAAAUGUCACGUCUCCCUUCCCCCUUUAUGCCUUUGACCAGUCAGCAUCCUAGUGUUAGGUCAGAGGAAUUCCUUUUACUUAGACUCUUUCAAAUACUCCAAUUGUG
rnacentral:lncRNA from 1 species